rnacentral:rRNA from 1 species
GACGAACGCUGGCGGCGUGCUUAACACAUGCAAGUCGAACGGUAAGGCCCUUCGGGGUACACGAGUGGCGAACGGGUGAGUAACACGUGGGUGAUCUGCCCUGCACUUCGGGAUAAGCCUGGGAAACUGGGUCUAAUACCGGAUAGGACCACUGCCUGCAUGGGUGGUGGUGGAAAGCUUUUGCGGUGUGGGAUGGGCCCGCGGCCUAUCAGCUUGUUGGUGGGGUGAUGGCCUACCAAGGCGACGACGGGUAGCCGGCCUGAGAGGGUGAGCCGCCACACUGGGACUGAGAGACGGCCCAGACUCCUACUGGAGGCAGCAGUGGCGAAUAUUGCACAAUGGGCGCAAGCCUGAUGCAGCGACGCCGCGUGAGGGAUGACGGCCUUCGGGUUGUAAACCUCUUUCAGCACCGACGAAGCGCAAGUGACGGUAGGUGCAGAAGAAGGACCGGCCAACUACGUGCCAGCCGCCGCGGUAA